rnacentral:tRNA from 1 species
GCCUAAGUAGCUUACUAAUUUAAAGCGCCGGCCUUGUAAGCCGGAGACGAGCCCACCGCUCCUAAGGCC